rnacentral:rRNA from 1 species
UACAGAGGGGGCAAGCGUUGUUCGGAUUCAUUGGGCGUAAAGGGUGCGUAGGCGGCGCGGUAAGUCGGGUGUGAAAUCUCGGAGCUUAACUCCGAAACUGCAUUCGAUACUGCCGUGCUUGAGGACUGGAGAGGAGACUGGAAUUUACGGUGUAGCGGUGAAAUGCGUAGAUAUCGUAAGGAAGACCAGUGGCGAAGGCGGGUCUCUGGACAGUUCCUGACGCUGAGGCACGAAGGUCAGGGGAGCAAACGGG